ACAUGUACUCCGUACAUAUUUGUGGGGCUCUUAUGUAGCAAUACAUAAGCAAUAACCGUCGCAGUGGGAAACAAAAUAAAAUUAUUCAACUUAUAUGCUGGAACAUCCGAGUAUCCUUGAUUACCAAAGUGUAAAAAUAUCAAGGUGCGGACAAUCAGCAGGGAAAAACAGGGCUCAUCCCCUGUCUUGCCCUCAACGACUACACGUUGAACUCCGAUAACAUAUCGGAUGAUGAUAUAGUCUGAACUUCUCUGGCGACAGAGAG
rnacentral:ncRNA from 1 species